rnacentral:rRNA from 1 species
GACGAACGCUGGCGGCGUGCCUAAUACAUGCAAGUAGAACGCUGAAGAGAGGCGCUUGCUCUUCUUGGAUGAGUUGCGAACGGGUGAGUCACGCGUAUGUAACCUGCCUUGUAGCGGGGUAUCACUAUGGGAAACGAUAGCUAAUACCGCAUAACCAUGUAUGACACAUGGCAUGUAGUUGAAAGGGGCAAUUGCUCCACUACCAGAUGGACCUGCGUUGUAUUAGCUAGUAGGUGAGGUAAUGGCGCACCUAGGGGAGGAUACAUAGCAGAACUGAGAGGGUGAGCGGCCGACCUGAGACGGUGACACGGCACAGAGUCCUACGGGAGGCAGCAGUAGGGAAACGUCGGCAAUGGGGGGAAACCUUACCGCGAAGCGCCGCGUGAGUGAAGAGGGUCUUCGGAUCGGAAAGCUCUGUUGUCAGUUUGGAACGGGUGUGAGACUGUAACGUUCACUCUGUGACGGUAGCUGGUCAGAAAGCACCGGCUAACUACGUG